rfam:Schistosoma mansoni strain Puerto Rico chromosome 1, complete genome
AUUUAACUGAAGAUUGCUAAACAGGACGAAACGCACGUCCUAGAU